rnacentral:rRNA from 1 species
AGGAAUAUUGGUCAAUGGACGAGAGUCUGAACCAGCCAAGUAGCGUGAAGGAUGACUGCCCUAUGGGUUGUAAACUUCUUUUAUACGGGAAUAAAGUUAGCCACGUGUGGCUUUUUGUAUGUACCGUAUGAAUAAGGAUCGGCUAACUCCGUGCCAGCAGCCGCGGUAAUACGGAGGAUCCGAGCGUUAUCCGGAUUUAUUGGGUUUAAAGGGAGCGUAGGCGGGUUGUUAAGUCAGUUGUGAAAGUUUGCGGCUCAACCGUAAAAUUGCAGUUGAUACUGGCGACCUUGAGUGCAACAGAGGUAGGCGGAAUUCGUGGUGUAGCGGUGAAAUGCUUAGAUAUCACGAAGAACUCCGAUUGCGAAGGCAGCUUACUGGAUUGUAACUGACGCUGAUGCUCGAAAGUGUGGGUAUCAAACAGGAUUAGAUACCCUGGUAGUCCACACAGUAAACGAUGAAUACUCGCUGUUGGCGAUAUACGGUCUGCGGCCAAGCGAAAGCAUUAAGUAUUCCACCUGGGGAGUACGCCGGCAACGGUGAAACUCAAAGGAAUUGACGGGGGCCCGCACAAGCGGAGGAACAUGUGGUUUAAUUCGAUGAUACGCGAGGAACCUUACCCGGGCUUAAAUUGCAACCGAAUAUGGCGGAAACGCCAUAGCUAGCAAUAGCGGUUGUGAAGGUGCUGCAUGGUUGUCGUCAGCUCGUGCCGUGAGGUGUCGGCUUAAGUGCCAUAACGAGCGCAACCCUUGCCGAUAGUUACUAACAGGUUAUGCUGAGGACUCUGUCGGGACUGCCAUCGUAAGAUGUGAGGAAGGUGGGGAUGACGUCAAAUCAGCACGGCCCUUACGUCCGGGGCUACACACGUGUUACAAUGGGGGGUACAGAGGGCUGCUACCACGCAAGUGGAUGCCAAUCCCAAAAACCUCUCUCAGUUCGGAUUGAAGUCUGCAACCCGACUUCAUGAAGCUGGAUUCGCUAGUAAUCGCGCAUCAGCCACGGCGCGGUGAAUACGUUCCCG